rnacentral:rRNA from 1 species
CCCGAGGAAAAGAAAUCAACCGAGAUUCUCCCAGUAGCGGCGAGCGAACGGGGAGGAGCCCAGAGCCUGAAUCAGUGUGUGUGUUAGUGGAAGCGUCUGGAAAGGCGCGCGAUACAGGGUGACAGCCCCGUACACAAAAAUGCACAUGCUGUGAGCUCGAUGAGUAGGGCGGGACACGUGGUAUCCUGUCUGAAUAUGGGGGGACCAUCCUCCAAGGCUAAAUACUCCUGACUGACCGAUAGUGAACCAGUACCGUGAGGGAAAGGCGAAAAGAACCCCGGCGAGGGGAGUGAAAAAGAACCUGAAACCGUGUACGUACAAGCAGUGGGAGCCUCUUAAUGGGGUGACUGCGUACCUUUUGUAUAAUGGGUCAGCGACUUAUAUUCUGUAGCAAGGUUAACCGAAUAGGGGAGCCGAAGGGAAACCGAGUCUUAACUGGGCGUUAAGUUGCAGGGUAUAGACCCGAAACCCGGUGAUCUAGCCAUGGGCAGGUUGAAGGUUGGGUAACACUAACUGGAGGACCGAACCGACUAAUGUUGAAAAAUUAGCGGAUGACUUGUGGCUGGGGGUGAAAGGCCAAUCAAACCGGGAGAUAGCUGGUUCUCCCCGAAAGCUAUUUAGGUAGCGCCUCGUGAAUUCAUCUCCGGGGGUAGAGCACUGUUUCGGCAAGGGGGUCAUCCCGACUUACCAACCCGAUGCAAACUGCGAAUACCGGAGAAUGUUAUCACGGGAGACACACGGCGGGUGCUAACGUCCGUCGUGAAGAGGGAAACAACCCAGACCGCCAGCUAAGGUCCCAAAGUCAUGGUUAAGUGGGAAACGAUGUGGGAAGGCCCAGACAGCCAGGAUGUUGGCUUAGAAGCAGCCAUCAUUUAAAGAAAGCGUAAUAGCUCACUGGUCGAGUCGGCCUGCGCGGAAGAUGUAACGGGGCUAAACCAUGCACCGAAGCUGCGGCAGCGACACUAUGUGUUGUUGGGUAGGGGAGC